GAUGAACGCUGGCGGCGUGCUUAACACAUGCAAGUCACGGGGGCUGGAGCAAUCCAGUAACCGGCGAACGGGUGCGUAACACGUGAGCAACCUGCCGUACUCAGGGGGAUAGCCGGCCCAACGGCCGGGUAAUACCGCAUACGUUCUCGCAGGGGAGUCCCUGUGGGAGGAAGCCUCCGGGGGAGUACGAGGGGCUCGCGGCCUAUCAGCUAGUUGGUGCGGUAACGGCGCACCAAGGCGACGACGGGUAGCUGGUCUGAGAGGAUGGCCAGCCACAUUGGGACUGAGAGACGGCCCAGACUCCUACGGGAGGCAGCAGUGGGGAAUCUUGCGCAAUGGCCGAAAGGCUGACGCAGCGACGCCGCGUGGGGAUGAAGCAUUUCGGUGUGUAAA
rnacentral:rRNA from 1 species